rnacentral:rRNA from 1 species
CCUACGGGUGGCUGCAGUCGAGAAUCAUUCACAAUGGGGGAAACCCUGAUGGUGCGACGCCGCGUGGGGGAAUGAAGGUCUCCGGAUUUUAAACCCUUGUCAUGUGGGAGCAAAUUAAAAAGAUAGUACCAUAAGAGGAAGAGACGGCUAACUCUGUGCCAGCAGCCGCGGUAAUAAAGAGGUCUUAAGCGUUGUUCGGAAUCACUGGGCGUAAAGCGUGCGUAGGCUGUUUAGUAAGUCGUAUGGGAAAGGCGAGGGCUCAACCAGCGGACGGCACAUGAUACUGCGAGACUAGAGUAAGGGAGAGGUAAGCGGAAUUCUCGGUGUAGGAGUGAAAUGCGUAGAUAUCGAGAGGAACACUCAUGGCGAAGGCGGGUUCCUGGACCUUAACUGACGCUGAGGCGCGAAGGCGAGGGGAGCGAAAGGGAUUAGAUACCCUGGUAGUC